UACAGAGGUCUCAAGCGUUGUUCGGAUUCAUUGGGCGUAAAGGGUGCGUAGGUGGCGCCGUAAGUCGGGUGUGAAAUUUCGGAGCUUAACUCCGAAACUGCAUUCGAUACUGCGGUGCUUGAGGACUGGAGAGGAGACUGGAAUUCAUGGUGUAGCAGUGAAAUGCGUAGAUAUCAGGAGGAACACCAAUUGCGAAGGCAGCUCGCUGGGACGUUACUGACGCUGAGACGCGAAAGCGUGGGGAGCAAACAGG
rnacentral:rRNA from 1 species